rnacentral:rRNA from 1 species
GGUUAAAAAGCUCGUAGUUGGAUUUCUGUUGAAGUCAGUCGGUGCACACCUCGUGUGUUAUUUGACCUGGCUUUGGCAUCCUCUGGGGGAACGUCUCUGGACUUAAUUGGACAGGGCGAGAUUCCAGACUUUUACUUUGAGGAAAUUAGAGUGUUCACGGCAGGCAAGUGCUUUGAAUACAUUAGCAUGGAAUAAUAAUAUAGGACCUUCGUUCUAUUUUGUUGGUUUCUAGAACUUAGGUAAUGAUUAAUAGGGACAAUUGGGGGCAUUCGUAUUAACGCGUCAGAGGUGGAAUUCUUGGAAUGC